AACAUUGAUAGCACCCUACACCCGCUAUCCGCCCGGGUACUACGAGCAUCAGCUUAAAACCCAAAGGACUUGGCGGUGCUUAAGAUCCACCUAGAGGAGCCUGUUCUAGAACCGAUAACCCCCGUUCAACCUCACCCUCCCUUGUCUUUUCCGCCUAUAUACCGCCGUCGUCAGCUUACCCUAUGAAGGACUAAUAGUAAGCAAAAUUGGUAAAACCUAAAACGUCAGGUCGAGGUGUAGCGCAUGAGAGGGGAAGAAAUGGGCUACAUUCACUAACGUAGUGAACACGAACGAUGCACUGAAACGUACAUCCGAAGGAGGAUUUAGCAGUAAGCAGAAAAUAGAGCGUCCU
rnacentral:rRNA from 1 species